rnacentral:rRNA from 1 species
GCAGCACAGCUAGCAAUAGUGGGUGGCGACCGGCAAACGGGUGCGGAACACGUACGCAACCUCCCCGGAACAGGUGAAUAGCCUUGCGAAAGUAAGAUUAAUACACCGUACCAUAUAGUGCUGGCAUCAGCAUUAUAUUAUAGGUAGCAAUACCGGUUCCGGAUGGGCGUGCGCCUGAUUAGGUAGUUGGUGCGGGUAACGGCCCACCAAGCCUUCGAUCAGUAACUGGUGUGAGAGCACGACCAGUCACACGGGCACUGAGACACGGGCCUGACUCCUACGGGAGGCAGCAGUAAGGAAUAUUGGUCAAUGGACGCAAGUCUGAACCAGCCAUGCCGCGUGGAGGAUGACGGCCCUCUGGGUUGUAAACUCCUUUUAUCUGGGACGAAAAACGGACUUUCUAGUUCACUUGACGGUACCAGAGGAAUAAGCACCGGCUAACUCCGUGCCAGCAGCCGCGGUAAUACGGAGGGUGCAAGCGUUAUCCGGAUUUACUGGGUUUAAAGGGUGCGUAGGUGGGUAGGAAAGUCAGUGGUGAAAUCUUCAAGCUUAACUUGGAAACUGCCAUUGAUACUUUUUAUCUUGAAUAUCCCGGAGGUAAGCGGAAUAUGUCAUGUAGCGGUGAAAUGCUUAGAUAUGACAUAGAACACCCAUUGCGAAGGCAGCUUA